CCUACGGGGCGCAGCAGUGGGGAAUAUUGGACAAUGGGGGGAACCCUGAUCCAGCCAUGCCGCGUGUGUGAAGAAGGCCUUAUGGUUGUAAAGCACUUUAAGCGGGGAGGAGGCUCUUCUGGUUAAUACCCAGGAUGAGUGGACGUUACCCGCAGAAUAAGCACCGGCUAACUCUGUGCCAGCAGCCGCGGUAAUACAGAGGGUGCGAGCGUUAAUCGGAUUUACUGGGCGUAAAGCGUGCGUAGGCGGCUUACUAAGUCGGAUGUGAAAUCCCCGAGCUUAACUUGGGAAUUGCAUUCGAUACUGGUGAGCUAGAGUAUGGGAGAGGAUGGUAGAAUUCCAGGUGUAGCGGUGAAAUGCGUAGAGAUCUGGAGGAAUACCGAUGGCGAAGGCAGCCAUCUGGCCUAAUACUGACGCUGAGGUACGAAAGCAUGGGGAGCAAACAGGAUUAGAUACCCCAGUAGUC
rnacentral:rRNA from 1 species